GACGAACGCUGGCGGCGUGCCUAAUACAUGCAAGUCGAGCGAAGUUUUUCUGGUGCUUGCACUAGAAAAACUUAGCGGCGAACGGGUGAGUAACACGUAAAGAACCUGCCUCAUAGACUGGGACAACUAUUGGAAACGAUAGCUAAUACCGGAUAACAGCAUUAAUUGCAUGGUUGAUGUUUAAAAGUUGGUUUUGCUAACACUAUGAGAUGGCUUUGCGGUGCAUUAGCUAGUUGGUGGGGUAAAGGCCUACCAAGGCGACGAUGCAUAGCCGACCUGAGAGGGUGAUCGGCCACACUGGGACUGAGACACGGCCCAGACUCCUACGGGAGGCAGCAGUAGGGAAUCUUCCGCAAUGGGCGAAAGCCUGACGGAGCAACGCCGCGUGAGUGAAGAAGGAUUUCGGUUCGUAAAGCUCUGUUGUUAGGGAAGAAUGAUUGUGUAGUAACUAUACACAGUAGAGACGGUACCUAACCAGAAAGCCACGGCUAACUACGUG
rnacentral:rRNA from 1 species